rnacentral:rRNA from 1 species
AUACGGAGGAUGCAGGCGUUAUCCGGAUUUAUUGGGUUUAAAGGGUGCGUAGGCGGGCUAAUAAGUCAGUGGUGAAAUCCCUCAGCUUAACUGGGGAACUGCCAUUGAUACUGUUAGUCUUGAGUAUAGUUGAGGUGGGCGGAAUGUGUCAUGUAGCGGUGAAAUGCAUAGAUAUGACACAGAACACCGAUUGCGUAGGCAGCUCACUAAACUAUCACUGACGCUGAUGCACGAAAGCGUGGGUAGCAAACAGGAUUAGAUACCCUGGUAGUCCACGCCGUAAACUAUGAUUACUCGUUGUGUGCGAUAUACAGUACGUGACUGAGCGAAAGCAUUAAGUAAUCCACCUGGGGAGUACGGUCGCAAGAUUGAA